UCUCUGACAGUCCAGUGGUUAGAACUCAGCUCUUCAACUGCUGGGGCCUGGGUUCAAUCCCUGGUCAGGCAA
rfam:TPA: Bos taurus chromosome 12, whole genome shotgun sequence.